rnacentral:rRNA from 1 species
CGCGUAGGCGGCCUUUCAAGUCAGGUGUGAAAUCCCGGGGCUCAACCCCGGAAGUGCAUUUGAUACUGUGAGGCUUGAGUAUGGGAGAGGGAAGUGGAAUUCCUGGUGUAGCGGUGAAAUGCGUAGAUAUCAGGAGGAACACCGGUGGCGAAGGCGGCUUCCUGGACCAAUACUGACGCUGAGGCGCGAAGGCGUGGGGAGCAAACA